CAAAAGAGACAAGAAAAUCAACAAGAUUGGCGAAAACUACUAUCAGUGUUCAAGUUCAUUGGGUCGCUGAUUUCGAUGAGCCAUCGAAUCGGAUAAUUGUCACGCGCCAAGGGCCCCCAGCCACAAGGGGCCGCCUGCAGUCAGAAGGUUUUCUUUGGUCAUCCUCAUCAGGCAGCAUACAUACUGCGUGCUCGUUUUUCUGUCCAUGUGCGAAACAAAAAACGUCGAAACUAUUACAGCUGCAUCGAUGUGUGUGGCUAUGCUGCUACCAUGGGAUGUGUUACGACCACAGCACGGACGAUAAGUACAAUGACUGUGGACCAAAAUAUAUGUAAUGUUGUAGAAGAAUCGAGUAACGUGGCGCCCACUGUCGAGAAAGUUAAAUAAAGUAUAGGGUGUUUGUCUAUAAAGUUAAGUAAACGACUUAAUCGAUUUUAAUACCUUACGAACUUAAAAAUUCUAUUGACAGAUCCUACAUACCUUUUAAAUUUCAUCAAAAUCAGACCAACGAACAGUUCGAAAGUUUGUAACGCGUAACAGAUAAUGUAUUUAUGCCUCAAGUUGAUCAAUAAAUAAUAUCAUUUAUUUUCAGACAUUUGUCCAUAGAGAAAAAAAAUUUUGCAUUGCAAUGACAAAAAAUAUAAUUUAAAUCCGUUUUCUUUUCUUUGUAGGAUAUACUUGUA